GCUUGCUCCUGGGUGACGAGCGGCGGACGGGUGAGUAAUGUCUGGGAAACUGCCCGAUGGAGGGGGAUAACUACUGGAAACGGUAGCUAAUACCGCAUAACGUCUUCGGACCAAAGUGGGGGACCUUCGGGCCUCACACCAUCGGAUGUGCCCAGAUGGGAUUAGCUAGUAGGUGAGGUAAUGGCUCACCUAGGCGACGAUCCCUAGCUGGUCUGAGAGGAUGACCAGCCACACUGGAACUGAGACACGGUCCAGACUCCUACGGGAGGCAGCAGUGGGGAAUAUUGCACAAUGGGCGCAAGCCUGAUGCAGCCAUGCCGCGUGUGUGAAGAAGGCCUUCGGGUUGUAAAGCACUUUCAGCGAGGAGGAAGGGUUCAGUGUUAAUAGCACUGUUCAUUGACGUUACUCGCAGAAGAAGCACCGGCUAACUCCGUGCCAGCAGCCGCGGUAAUACGGAGGGUGCAAGCGUUAAUCGGAAUUACUGGGCGUAAAGCGCACGCAGGCGGUUUGUUAAGUCAGAUGUGAAAUCCCCGAGCUUAACUUGGGAACUGCAUUUGAAACUGGCAAGCUAGAGUCUUGUAGAGGGGGGUAGAAUUCCAGGUGUAGCGGUGAAAUGCGUAGAGAUCUGGAGGAAUACCGGUGGCGAAGGCGGCCCCCUGGACAAAGACUGACGCUC
rnacentral:rRNA from 1 species